GCCGGGGGAGGGGGCCGCCCGCGCCGCCCGCAUCGCCCGCCCGGGCUGAGCGGGAGGUCGCCGCUAACAAGUGCAAACUUUUUGGCCCCCCUGGGCGGCCCGGGGAGGACCCGCGCUCGGGCGCCGGGCAGCCCCCGGCCCGGGUGGGCUUCGCGGCGUCUCGUCGGGGAGCCGGGGCAUCCCCCCGGCGCGGCGCGGGCCAGAUGGCGGGCGCUUCACUGCCCCCCUGCACUCCGCUCCAAGUUAAUGCCGAGGCUAAAUCCUCUUGCCAUCACUCACGAUCACCAUCGGGGCUUUUAUCUCUCGGUCUGAUCCGGGCUGCGUAACUUCCUCUGUGUGGCUUUAACACACCAUCCCACCACGGAGCAACGGUCUUCUUAAAGCUGCCCUGAAAACUGGAGACGGAGUUAUACUGCUG
rnacentral:lncRNA from 1 species